AACACUGCUUGUCGUCCGAUCCCCGAAGUUAAGUAACACUGAAACUGGUCAGUACCAAGAUGGGUGACCGCCGGGGAAUACCAGGUGCUGUAA